rnacentral:rRNA from 1 species
GUCCAGACUCCUACGGGAGGCAGCAGUGGGGAAUAUUGCACAAUGGGGGGAACCCUGAUGCAGCGACGCCGCGUGGGUGAAGGAGUAUUUCGGUAUGUAAAGCCCUCUCGGCAGGGAAGAAGCAAGACGGUACCUGAUUAAGAAGCCCCGGCUAACUACGUGCCAGCAGCCGCGGUAAUACGUAGGGGGCAAGCGUUAUCCGGAUUUACUGGGUGUAAAGGGAGCGUAGACGGCAGCGCAAGUCUGGAGUGAAAUGCCGGGGCCCAACCCCGGAACUGCUUUGGAAACUGUGCAGCUCGAGUGCAGGAGAGGUAAGCGGAAUUCCUAGUGUAGCGGUGAAAUGCGUAGAUAUUAGGAGGAACACCAGUGGCGAAGGCGGCUUACUGGACUGUAACUGACGUUGAGGCUCGAAAGCGUGGGGAGCAAACAGGAUUAGAUACCCGGGUAU